UGGCGAACGGGUGAGUAACGCGUGAGGAACCUGCCUCAAAGAGGGGGACAACAGUUGGAAACGACUGCUAAUACCGCAUAAGCCCACGGGUCGGCAUCGACCAGAGGGAAAAGGAGCAAUCCGCUUUGAGAUGGCCUCGCGUCCGAUUAGCUAGUUGGUGAGGUAACGGCUCACCAAGGCAACGAUACAUAGGGGGACUGAGAGGUUAACCCCCCACACUGGUACUGAGACACGGACCAGACUCCUACGGGAGGCAGCAUG
rnacentral:rRNA from 1 species